rnacentral:rRNA from 1 species
GACCUCGGAUCAGGUAGGGAUACCCGCUGAACUUAAGCAUAUCAAUAAGCGGAGGAAAAGAAACCAACAGGGAUUGCCCUAGUAACGGCGAGUGAAGCGGCAACAGCUCAAAUUUGAAAUCUGGCUCUUUUAGAGUCCGAGUUGUAAUUUGCAGAGGGCGCUUUGGCUUUGGCAGCGGUCCAAGUUCCUUGGAACAGGACGUCACAGAGGGUGAGAAUCCCGUACGUGGUCGCUGGCUAUUGCCGUGUAAAGCCCCUUCGACGAGUCGAGUUGUUUGGGAAUGCAGCUCUUAAUGGGAGGUACAUUUCUUCUAAAGCUAAAUAUUGGCCAGAGACCGAUAGCGCACAAGUAGAGUGAUCGAAAGAUGAAAAGCACUUUGGAAAGAGAGUCAAACAGCACGUGAAAUUGUUGAAAGGGAA